rnacentral:rRNA from 1 species
AUUGAACGCUGGCGGCAGGCCUAACACAUGCAAGUCGAGCGAGCGGCGGACGGGUGCGUAAUGUCUGGGACACUGCCUGAUGGAGGGGAAUAACUACUGGAAACGGUAGCUAAUACCGCAUACCAUCAGAUGUGCCCACAUGGGAGUAGCUAGUAGGUGGGGUAAUGGCGAACCUAGGCGACGAUCCCUAGCUGGUCUGAGAGGAUGACCAGCCACACUGGGGCUGAGACACGGUCCAGACUCCUGCGGGAGGCAGCAGUGGGGAAUAUUGCACAAUGGGCGCAAGCCUGAUGCAGCCAUGCCGCGUGUGUGAAGAAGGCCUUCGGGUUGUAAAGCACUUUCAGUGGGGAGGCGUUACCCGCAGAAGAAGCACCGGCUAACUCCGUGCCAGCAGCCGCGGUAAUUC